UGAGCAUGGUGGUGCACGCCUGUGGUC
rnacentral:piRNA from 1 species